UACGAAGGGGGCUAGCGUUGCUCGGAAUGACUGGGCGUAAAGCGUGCGCAGGCGGCUUCUCAAGUCAGGGGUGAAAGCCCAGAGCUCAACUCUGGAAUUGCCUUUGAGACUGAGUGGCUUGAGUACGAGAGAGGUGAGUGGAAUUCCCAGUGUAGAGGUGAAAUUCGUAGAUAUUGGGAAGAACACCGGUGGCGAAGGCGGCUCACUGGCUCGUAACUGACGCUCAUGCACGACAGCGUGGGGAUCAAACAGG
rnacentral:rRNA from 1 species